AAGAUCAUACUUCAUAGGAUCAUUUCUAUAGUAUGAUUAGCGAGUUCGCUCACCGAACUUCGCAGAAUACCCAACCACGAUGAUGUGGAAUGGGGCUUCUACCUGAGCGUGAAGCCGGUGUGUCAAGUCUCUGACAUACCAUUGAUGAUCGCGCCUUCUGUUCUCGUAGCGGUUGGAGGGUAGGAACUCGUUCUGAGUGGU